UCAAAAUCGAGUAAUGAUAUUUAAUGUCAAAACUCGAUACAGUAUACGCGUCUUUGAAAAUUUGACGCCGAUGAUUGCAUCAAAUUCGAGUUUUAAAGUGGCUCACGGAGGUGACGAAAAAGUGUGUUACGACUUUCUCCGUUCUUGACCAACGGUUUUUCGAUCCAUCGUGGUGCACGAUAGGAGGUCAACGGAUGAACUCCGGUCGCUGGAUAGCGAGAUAUCUACACCUCGUAUCGAUACAGUUACCCGCUUUAACACAUUCAAUAUCCGUCAAAUUUCCAGAAGCGAGUGCUGAGAAUGCACUCGCGGAAAGGAAUGCACGGAGGAUCACGUUUGUUCUUAAGUGACGUCAACGCUACAUUCUCUUCUCCAAUAACUCAGAAACACACUUUCUCCGGUGUUACGGUGUAACGCACGAAUAGAGAUCCACAAUUAUCGCACGAAACGCGCAAUAAGUAUACGUGACUUCCAAUAUCAUGAAUGGAUUAGAAUUCCCGAUUUCGCAAACCAAGCAUGUACACAUAGUAGUUCUCGCAAUUACGAGUGUAGAAUUGUGUCAUCAUUUAAACAACCUUCGUUGGUUGCAUCACGUUACUUUAUUACAAACCGUGCAAUAAUUAUCACACGAUUCGUUAUACCGUUUAAAGAUAAAAAAAUAUGGCGCUUCGAUAAAUUGUAUCGUUUGUUUCUGUAAGUUAGGCUAAUGUAAACCAUACAGUCUUUCAGUUUGUAUUAGGUAAACCGUAGCGCUCAAUCGUUAUUCUAAUGUUAUACAAUAUGCAGUCGCUAUGUUUGGAGUAAAUAAUGGAUACUUUUACAAAGACUGCAACAAGACCUUCGAUGAAAACGUCUUUAAAGAAUGACUGAUUCAUCGUUCGGUAGAUAUAGUAGGUCGUGUCGAAAUAAGUCUACGACAUACUUUACGUAUAGCUUUUUCCAUACCGUUGCUCGUUUAAAAAAUCGCUAUGUAUCCGUUAUAAAUCCAAUGUAAGAAACUGCCGAUCAAAUGCAUCCCUACUACAUCAUACAACAAGAGCGCGUAAUUCAAUUUUCUUUUUUUGUGUCCAAACCAAACGCAUGUUUAUUUCGCAUUUUCAUCGAUCACGUCGAGUAUAAAAAUUGAGUGCUUGGUAGAAAUUAUAGACUCGCGAUGCUUAAAAAGCCUUCUACCGUGUACAGUAGUUUUUGCAUUAAAAAAACAUUCGUGUGUUAUUCUUAUUAUAUCCUGCACAUUGUUACCUUAAAU